rnacentral:lncRNA from 1 species
AGCUCAGAUCAAGAUAAUGAAGCUGGCAACAAGUGCCUGCCAAAGCCUGAAUUCCUACAUCAAGAUACCUAUGUAACAGGCUUCUGCCAAAGACGACACUAUUCAAAAGAUCCACACUUGUAACCACGACUAGACUCAAGAAGACUAACCAUUGAUUCAGGACUUGCACACUAUCACUGCACCAUCUCUCAUAAGGAAACUGCUUUUGAAAUACCAGAGAGUCCCACCAAAUGAUUUCUGCAAAGACUGAAGCACUCAACUUUACAAAACCAAUGUACAGUUCUGGUAAACUGUGGGAAGAAACAAGCAAAACAGAAACUUUUCAAACAACCACCCCAGGGAAGAAACAGGUAGUCAAAUACUAAUCUCUGUAUCAGAAUCUCCCUCUCUGAGGAUCAGUGUGAUCUCUCCAGAAUAUCUAAUCUUAUAACAUUUUCUUCCUGAUAGGCCAUAAUUCUCAGACAUAAAAACUGAAGAUUUUAGUGGAUGAAAAUUUGAAUCUUGGUUUCUCAGGAGGACACCAUCUAACGCAGAUCUAAACAUAAGCAUCAGUCUCUCGGCCUCUCCCUGUUUUGUGCUGAACUCUGGUCAAAAGAACCAAGCAGAAACUUCCCGAAGAGAGACAGGAAACAAG